rnacentral:rRNA from 1 species
AUGAAAAAGAUCUUGGAGGCAGUUACAAAAGAGAAGCCUAAUGCUGAUACUUUGCAAGCAUUGCAACAAAUUCUCAAAGACAAACUGGACCGUAAGAAAGUUCUGCUUAUUCUGGAUGAUGUUUGGGAAGAUAACAAAAUUAGUGAAUGGGAAAAUUUAAUGGCACCUUUGCGGAGUAUCCAAACAGGAAGCAAGAUCCUGCUGACAACCCGAAUGAGAUCUGUGGCAGAUAUGGUUACAGGUGUGAUGAGAAGUAGAAAGGACUAUUUGCACUUAAAUGGAUUAAAUGAAGAUGAAAAUUGUAUGCUCUUCAAGAAGUGUGCAUUUGGUGGUUUGAAUCCGGAAGAUUAUGCACAUCUCUUGUCAGUUGCUGAAAAAAUAGCAAAAAAGUUUCGAGGCUGUCCUUUGGUUACAAAGAUUGCAGGUGGCCAUCUACGUAGCAAUGUAACUGAUGAGCACUGGAAGAACUUAGAGAGACAAUUAGAACAUUUAGAAGGAAGCACAGAUGUUAUCGUCACAACUGUUCUUCGAUCGAGCAACCAUCAUCUACCUGAACAGUUGCAGCUUUGUUUUAGAUACUGUAGCAUAUUUCCAAAAGGACAGAAGUUUAAGAAGGAAGACAUAGUGAAAAUGUGGAUGGGUUCAGGACUGAUCCUGCAAACUGAAGGUGGGACCAAAAGGCCAGAAGACAUGGGAGAAAGAUAA